GGACAUUUGGGGCAAAGAUGAUGUUGUCCUGCUUGGAUUUAUCCCCCUAGGUCUUUACAAAAUAAAUAAAUAAAUACAUGAAUACAUAAAGCUGCUGAUAGUAAAAAUGAUCGGCAUUCGGGAAGCUGGACACUUCGAGAGUUAGCAUUGAAUGGCAAAGCUAAAGAAAAAUAUUUUUUUCCUCACGGACUAAAUAUAAUUUUUGAGAAUUAGUUACUUGCUUUGUGAUACCAAACAGGAUUUGGGAUGGGGUACUGAACCCACCAGUUAAUAUUUCUUGUUUUCUCUAUUAACCUCUUACCACCCACACACAAUUUGGAAAGUUCCAACCAGCCUUGAAUAUACUAAAUAUCGUCUUUCCUUCUCAAUACAUACAUAUGUGCAUAUGUACAUAAAUAUAUACAUAUAUAUGUACACAUACACAUAUGUAAAUGAACAGAUAAAAUUAAAUGUACUAUCUUUUUGUGUUAUUAACCUAUUUAAACGACAUUAUACUAUUGUUGGCUGUUUCCUUUUUCUCCUGUAAGAAUAUCAGGAAUUCCAAAUCUCAGGCUUCAGGGGAAAGCAUUUCUUUUAAAGUCACUUCUGAGAGGAAUUCUGUCACUUAACACAAUUUUUAGCCCCGAGAUCUGUCAGGGGGUUGUAGGUCAUUGUUUUAUAGGCACACAUUUUUGGGAGAAAUGCACAAAUUUAAGGACAAGACAAUAUUCUGAUAUGAACAAAAGUAGAAGAAUUUGAAUAUGUAUCUGUUUCUCCUUAAAGAGUUUAACUGUUAAACUGUGAAAGACAAGUUUUCUGUAGAAAAUAGACCUAGCAAAUGACCAGGAUCCUGUAAGAUACAGCCUAAAAUUUGCCAAGCAAUUCGUGGUUGCUGUUUGUGACAGUCUUGCACGCACCUUGCAAUAUUCUGUGUGUAGCAUAUUUUAGACCAUCACUUUCUUUUUUUUUUUUUUUUUUCUACAUUGCUAUUUAUAUCUCCAUGUCAGGGGAACAGGGGUCUUUCCAAGCAGAGGUCAAGUCAGCUUGCUAGAGUUGGUCCUCUCCCACCUUGUGGGACCAGGGACUUGGGUCUUCAGGCUUGGUGGCAAGUGCCACUGAGCCUGGCCCAUUGCCCCCCUUUUCCCAGUAGUUUUCAUUCUAGGAGACAGAAUGUAACUAGACUCUUAACUGGCAUAGUUGUUAGGCAAGUCAAUCUUGUUGUUCAUCUUUAUGGCUCAAUUAGUUUGUCUGAGCAAGGGAAGGUUUAGCAUCUACCUAUAACUGAUUUCACUUGAAUGAUAAAAUGGCAGAACACUCAGGAACUGCCUACGCUAUCCAUUUAUGACCGACCUUUAUGCAAAAUCAUUUAAAAUAAACAGUGUGGCCAUGCCUUUAAUCCCAGGCCUCGGGAGGCAAAGGAAGGCAGAUCUCUGAGUUUGAGCCCAGCCUGGUCUACAGAGUGAAUUCCAGGACAGCCAGGGGAAAUCCUGUCUCAAACC
rnacentral:lncRNA from 1 species